rnacentral:rRNA from 1 species
UACGAAGGGGGCUAGCGUUGCUCGGAAUUACUGGGCGUAAAGCGUGCGCAGGCGGCUCUUUAAGUCAGAUGUGAAAUCCCCGGGCUUAACCUGGGAACUGCGUUUGAAACUGAGGAGCUAGAGUGUGGAAGAGGGGGGUGGAAUUCCAGGUGUAGCAGUGAAAUGCGUAGAGAUCUGGAGGAACACCGAUGGCGAAGGCAGCCCCCUGGGCUGACACUGACGCUCAUGCACGAAAGCGUGGGGAGCAAACAGG